rnacentral:rRNA from 1 species
GAUGAACGCUGGCGGCGUGCCUAAUACAUGCAAGUCGAGCGAAAGGACGAUAAGCUUGUGUCUUUGAUGUUAGCGGCGGACGGGUGUGUAACACGUGUAUAACCUACUUAUUUGUCUGGGAUAAUUACGGGAAACCGGAUCUUAUACCGGAGAAUAUUUUGAACCGCAUGGUGGAAAGGAGAAUGGCGGCCUUUGUGGCUCUUAUAGAUGGUUCCGCGCUGCAUUAGCUAGUUGGUAAGGUAACGGCGUACCAAGGCAACGAUGCAUAGCCGACCUGAGAGGGUGAUCGGCCACACUGGAACUGAGACACGGUCCAGACUCCUACGGGAGGCAGCAGUAGGGAAUCUUCCGCAAAGGGCGAAAGCCUGACGGAGCAACGCCGCGUGAGUGAUGAAGGCCUUCGGAUCGUAAAACUCUGUUAUUAGGGAAGAACAUAUGUGUAAGUAACUGUGCACAUCUUGACGGUACCUAAUCAAAAAGCCACGGCUAACUACGUG